rnacentral:rRNA from 1 species
UACGGGGGGGGGCAAGCGUUGUUCGGAAUUACUGGGCGUAAAGGGCUCGUAGGUGGCCAACUCAGUCAGACGUGAAAUCCCUCGGCUUAACCGGGGAACUGCGUCUGAUACUGGAUGGCUUGAGGUUGGGAGAGGGAUGCGGAAUUCCAGGUGUAGCGGUGAAAUGCGUAGAUAUCUGGAGGAACACCGGUGGCGAAGGCGGCAUCCUGGACCAAUUCUGACACUGAGGAGCGAAAGCCAGGGGAGCAAACGGG